ACCAUUGUCAACACAUACUGACAUUUCGACCAAAAAUCCCAUACCUUUACACCUAAUCAUUUAAACGUUAUCAUUAAGUGAUGUUAUCAAAUUUUACCAGCUUACACAGUUUAAUAAUGAAUUUUUUAAGUGGGUCAAGAUCCCAACUAACAUUUCUAUUACCUCUCUUAUAUAAUAUCUUUGUAAUUAUUCACGUUUUCAAUUAGUUUUAUAGUUUAAAUGGAGCGAUUAUAUGUCAAUAUAUGUUCACCCACAGGAGAUUUAUGAACUUCUUGAUUUUUAAUAUUUCCUAUAUGUGUUUUAAACCUGACAUCUAUAUUUCAUUUUGUUUGUCCUAUGUAACAUUUAUUACAACUUUCACAUUGUAUUUUAUAAAUGCACGAAUCCUCCCUUUUUUUUACUUUAUUUUUAUUUAUUAUUAUUAUUUUUUUAAAUAAAAUAUUUUCUUUAUUUGUGUAUUGACAAUUUGUACAAUAUGUAAAUUUGUUAAUUUAAUUGAUUGCAUGAAUAGGAUGACUGGGUAGUUCACAUUAGAAUCCCCUCACAAAAAAAUUGUUUUGUAAUAGGUCUCUACAUCUGGUGCGUUUAAGACGUUGCGUCUGGUUGUUCGGAAGUAUUUUGAAGUGUUGUAGAUUCACUUACAGUU